rnacentral:lncRNA from 1 species
CUUUUUCAUAUAUAAAUUCAUGUCAGAUAUUAAGAGAGAAUCAUCAUGAGAUUCUUUAUUAAAAAUCUGUUUUAUCUAUUAUAGAUAACAUUUAAGAAUGAGGUUGGUCAAUAUGAUUUGGAGGUAACCACGUUUCAGCUCGCUGUAUUGUUUGCAUGGAACCAAAGACCCAGAGAGAAAAUCAGCUUUGAAAAUCUUAAGCUUGCAACUGAACUCCCUGAUGCUGAACUUAGGAGGACUUUAUGGUCUUUAGUAGCUUUCCCAAAACUCAAACGGCAAGUUUUGUUGUAUGAACCUCAAGUCAACUCACCCAAAGACUUUACAGAAGGUACCCUCUUCUCAGUGAACCAGGAGUUCAGUUUAAUAAAAAAUGCAAAGGUUCAGAAAAGGGGUAAAAUCAAC